AAAUUGAAGAGUUUGAUCAUGGCUCAGAUUGAACGCUGGCGGCAGGCCUAACACAUGCAAGUCGAACGGUAGCACAGAGAGCUUGCUCUCGGGUGACGAGUGGCGGACGGGUGAGUAAUGUCUGGGAAACUGCCUGAUGGAGGGGGAUAACUACUGGAAACGGUGGCUAAUACCGCAUAACGUCGCAAGACCAAAGAGGGGGACCUUCGGGCCUCUUGCCAUCAGAUGUGCCCAGAUGGGAUUAGCUUGUUGGUGAGGUAACGGCUCACCAAGGCGACGAUCCCUAGCUGGUCUGAGAGGAUGACCAGCCACACUGGAACUGAGACACG
rnacentral:rRNA from 1 species